rnacentral:rRNA from 1 species
UGCCAGCCGCCGCGGUAAUACGAAGGGACCUAGCGUAGUUCGGAAUUACUGGGCUUAAAGAGUUCGUAGGUGGUUGAAAAAGUUAGUGGUGAAAUCCCAGAGCUUAACUCUGGAACUGCCAUUAAAACUUUUUAGCUAGAGUAUGAUAGAGGAAAGCAGAAUUCAUAGUGUAGCGGUGGAAUGCGUAGAUAUUAUGAAGAAUACCAGUGGCGAAGGCGGCCUCCUGGAUCUGUACUGACACUGAGGUGCGAAAGCGUGGGUAGCGAACAGGAUUAGAUA